rnacentral:rRNA from 1 species
CUAGAGAUUAGAGUUUGAUCCUGGCUCAGGACGAACGCUGGCGGCGUGCUUAACACAUGCAAGUCGAACGAUGAUGCCCAGCUUGCUGGGUGGAUUAGUGGCGAACGGGUGAGUAACACGUGAGUAACCUGCCCCUGACUCUGGGAUAAGCGUUGGAAACGACGUCUAAUACUGGAUAUGAUCACUGGCCGCAUGGUCUGGUGGCGGAAAGAUUUUUUGGUUGGGGAUGGACUCGCGGCCUAUCAGCUUGUUGGUGAGGUAAUGGCUCACCAAGGCGACGACGGGUAGCCGGCCUGAGAGGGUGACCGGCCACACUGGGACUGAGACACGGCCCAGACUCCUACGGGAGGCAGCAGUGGGGAAUAUUGCACAAUGGGCGAAAGCCUGAUGCAGCAACGCCGCGUGAGGGAUGACGGCCUUCGGGUUGUAAACCUCUUUUAGUAGGGAAGAAGCGAAAGUGACGGUACCUGCAGAAAAAGCACCGGCUAACUACGUGCCAGCAGCCGCGGUAAUACGUAGGGUGCAAGCGUUGUCCGGAAUUAUUGGGCGUAAAGAGCUCGUAGGCGGUUUGUCGCGUCUGCUGUGAAAUCCCGAGGCUCAACCUCGGGCUUGCAGUGGGUACGGGCAGACUAGAGUGCGGUAGGGGAGAUUGGAAUUCCUGGUGUAGCGGUGGAAUGCGCAGAUAUCAGGAGGAACACCGAUGGCGAAGGCAGAUCUCUGGGCCGUAACUGACGCUGAGGAGCGAAAGCAUGGGGAGCGAACAGGAUUAGAUACCCUGGUAGUCCAUGCCGUAAACGUUGGGCGCUAGAUGUAGGGACCUUUCCACGGUUUCUGUGUCGUAGCUAACGCAUUAAGCGCCCCGCCUGGGGAGUACGGCCGCAAGGCUAAAACUCAAAGGAAUUGACGGGGGCCCGCACAAGCGGCGGAGCAUGCGGAUUAAUUCGAUGCAACGCGAAGAACCUUACCAAGGCUUGACAUACACCGGAAACGGCCAGAGAUGGUCGCCCCCUUGUGGUCGGUGUACAGGUGGUGCAUGGUUGUCGUCAGCUCGUGUCGUGAGAUGUUGGGUUAAGUCCCGCAACGAGCGCAACCCUCGUUCUAUGUUGCCAGCGGGUUAUGCCGGGGACUCAUAGGAGACUGCCGGGGUCAACUCGGAGGAAGGUGGGGAUGACGUCAAAUCAUCAUGCCCCUUAUGUCUUGGGCUUCACGCAUGCUACAAUGGCCGGUACAAAGGGCUGCGAUACCGUAAGGUGGAGCGAAUCCCAAAAAGCCGGUCUCAGUUCGGAUUGAGGUCUGCAACUCGACCUCAUGAAGUCGGAGUCGCUAGUAAUCGCAGAUCAGCAACGCUGCGGUGAAUACGUUCCCGGGCCUUGUACACACCGCCCGUCAAGUCAUGAAAGUCGGUAACACCCGAAGCCGGUGGCCUAACCCUUGUGGAAGGAGCCGUCGAAGGUGGGAUCGGUGAUUAGGACUAAGUCGUAACAGGGUAGCCGUA